UACGUAGGGGGCAAGCGUUGUCCGGAAUCAUUGGGCGUAAAGAGCGUGUAGGCGGCUUGGCAAGUCUGACGUGAAAGCCCGCGGCUCAACCGCGGAUUGUCGUUGGAAACUGCCUCGCUAGAGUCCGGAAGAGGAGAGCGGAAUUCCUGGUGUAGCGGUGGAAUGCGCAGGAUAUCAGGAAGAACACCCGUGGCGAAGGCGGCUCUCGUGGGACGGUACUGACGCUGAGACGCGAAAGCGUGGGGAGCGAACAGGAU
rnacentral:rRNA from 1 species